CCCGAGAUUUUUAAGUGCAGAGAUGAAUCAGCUGCGUCCUUUAGAAAACGCAUCCUCUCUCGGACAUGCUGCUGGGAUGUUGUGUCUCUCCACUGCCUCCCUGCGAGUGUGCUCAGAGCUGCUGGCUGAUGACAAACUGCCCCCUAAUGCAGAGGAUACAAGAGGGGAGCAUCAGUUUAUCAUAACACGGAUGCGUCCUUUGCAGUUGUGACUUUCCUUGACUGGUAUGUGGGAUGCUGCGACCGGCCUGCUGUAUUUUCUGUCUUGGGGCAGCUGAAUGGAUACAGAGAUAUGAGCUUUCAAUACCUGCAAGUUUCCAUCUGGUCUGUUGGCAGCGCUCUGCAUGAAAGGGACCAUGAGAAGUUGGAAGUGGUACAGCCAUGCUUGAUGCUGGUGUUGGAAAGCUGAACUCCCCAAAAGUGAACUUCCUCUUCUACUAUAAACUGACCCUUGGGGUUGCUAUAGUGACUGCAGAGCAGCCAGCGGGCUGUGUAAACACUCCCUCCCGCUUCCCAUCACAUUGGGCCUGAGAGACUGAGCCACGGGAUGUGCACAGCAACCUGGAUUAUGCGGGUGGUUGUGAAAUGCAAACCCGACAAUUUCUCUG